AGCUCCUGGAGGGCAAGGAGUGUAUCCUGUUCACAUCUACAUCUGCGACCUCCAGCCCAGUGUUUACCAAUAGAGAGCACAGAAUUGAAGCCUGGUUUCAAAUGGAAUGCAUAUUUCAAAUGCUAGCUCUGUCCCUUACUAGCUAUGUGGCCUCAGGGCCCAGCAAAGAACUUGGCACCUCCAAAGUGGACAUUUACGGAAUGAGUGAACGAACCUGGGCUGGGAUGUAUUAGUCCAUCUGGCCCCAUCUCUCCGAGCAAACGAGAUCUGGCCUGCUUUAUGUCUCUCUCUCCCACAGGGAUAAGCUAAGUGGAGGCCCCACUUGGGCCAAUCUGCCUAGCCUGACUCCAUAGCCUGGUUUUAUUUGCUGGAUUCUCCCUUCAUUAAGACCACGGCACUGACAAGUUGUCCAGUUGUACCUUUUCUAGCCCUCAUAUCUCUGGCCUGGACCUGGGGCCCUGCCUAGAAACCCAGAUACUUUAGAACUGAGAGCCUGCCUUUGUUUUCCCCAAGUUUCCCCAGCAUGAAAGUUCCCCUCUGAAUCCCAAGCCCCAAGGCUGGGGGCCCAGACACUUGGAGUCAAACUUCCCCAACGGCUACACCCUAUCCACCUGGAAGUCGGUUCUGCCUGAUCCUUGACUUCCCUCCAAACCAAAUGCACUUUUUCCUAUUGGGACAUCAACCCUCUGACCACAUCAGUCCUUUCUGUGGCCAUCUCUCUGUAUGUUCCAACUUAAUGAAACCAUUACCGAGCAUCUACCAUAGCCAAGGCACAGGGCUAAGAACCUGAGUCCUCUGUUACCCGCAGCAGAUCCCUGUUACCACUGGCUGUGUCCACACUCAGCUAUCCUUAAUCAAACUCCUGACACUCCUG
rnacentral:lncRNA from 10 species